UAGCAUAUCAAUAAGCGGAGGAAAAGAAACCAACAGGGAUUGCCNUAGUAACGGCGAGUGAAGCGGCAACAGCUCAAAUUUGAAAUCUGGCUACCUUUCGUAGUCCGAGUUGUAAUUUGUAGAGGAUGCUUUUGGUGAGGUGCCUUCCGAGUUCCCUGGAACGGGACGCCAUAGAGGGUGAGAGCCCCGUACGGUUGGAUACCAAACCUCUGUAUAGCUCCUUCAACGAGUCGAGUAGUUUGGGAAUGCUGCUCUAAAUGGGAGGUAUAUCUCUUCUAAAGCUAAAUAUAGGCUAGAGACCGAUAGCGCACAAGUAGAGUGAUCGAAAGAUGAAAAGCACUUUGAAAAGAGAGUUAAACAGCACGUGAAAUUGUUGAAAGGGAAGCGCCUAUGACCAGACUUGUUUCUGGCAGUUUCGUUAGCCCUCGGGCUGAUUUACUCUGUCCAGUACAGGCCAGCAUCAGUUUGCUGUCGGGGAGAAAGGCUCUGGGAACGUAGCUCCCCCCUUCUGGGGGGAGUGUUAUAGCCCUCUGCAUAAUACCCUUCGGCAGACUGAGGACCGCGCUUCGGCAAGGAUGCUGGCGUAAUGGUCAUCAGCGACCCGUCUUGAAACACGGACCAAGGAGUCAACCUUAUGUGCGAGUGUUUGGGUGUAAAACCCCAGCGCGUAAUGAAAGUGAACGUAGGUGAGAGCUUCGGCGCAUCAUCGACCGAUUCUGAUGUUUUCGGAUGGAUUUGAGUAAGAGCACACAGGGUUGGACCCGAAAGAAGGUGAACUAUGCUUGUAUAGGGUGAAGCCAGAGGAAACUCUGGUGGAGGCUCGCAGCGGUUCUGACGUGCAAAUCGAUCGUCAAAUAUGAGCAUGGGGGCGAAAGACUAAUCGAACCUUCUAGUAGCU
rnacentral:rRNA from 1 species